AGGACUAACGCUGGCGGCGUGCCUAACACAUGCAAGUCGAACGAGGGGUAGCAAUACCCCUAGUGGCAGACGGGUGAGUAACACGUAGUCAACCUACCUCUUAAUGGGGGAUAACUAGCCGAAAGGUUAGCUAAUACCGCAUACGAUCGUCGAGUGGCAUCACACGACGAUGAAAGGAGCAAUCCGUUGAGAGAGGGGACUGCGUCCCAUUAGUUAGUUGGUGGGGUAAUGGCCUACCAAGACUCCGAUGGGUAGCUGGCUUGAGAGAGCGACCAGCCACACUGGAACUGAGACACGGUCCAGACUCCUACGGGAGGCAGCAGUGAGGAAUUUUUCCGCAAUGGGGGAAACCCUGACGGAGCGACGCCGCGUGUGGGAAGAAGGCCUUCGGGUCGUAAACCACUGUCGAGGGGACGAUAUUGACGGUACCCCUGGAGGAAGCCCCGGCUAACUACGCGCCAGCAGCCGC
rnacentral:rRNA from 1 species